GCCCAGGUGGCGGAAUUGGUAGACGCGCUAGAUUCAGGUUCUAGUGAUCGCAAGGUCGUGGAAGUUCGAGUCUUCUCCUGGGCACCA
rnacentral:tRNA from 1 species